UUCAGCGGCGGACGGGUGAGUAACGCGUGAGCAAUCUGUCUCAGACAGGGGGAUAACGCAGCGAAAGUUGCACUAAUACCGCAUGAGACCACAACGCCACAUGGCGAAGGGGUCAAAGGAGCAAUCCGGUCUGAGGUGAGCUCGCGUCCCAUUAGGUAGUUGGUGAGGUAACGGGCCCACCCAAGCCGACGAUGGGUAGCCGACCUGAGAGGGUGAUCGGCCACACUGGAACUGAGACACGGUCCAGACUCCUACGGGAGGCAGCAGUGGGGAAUAUUGGGCAAUGGGCGAAAGCCUGACCCAGCAACGCCGCGUGAGUGAAGAAGGUCUUCGGAUUGUAAAUCUCUGUCCUAAGAGAAGAGGGGAAGACGGUAUCUUAGGAGGAAGCCCCGGCUAACUACGUGCC
rnacentral:rRNA from 1 species